rnacentral:rRNA from 1 species
AUGUUUAGGAGCGGGAUCUGCCCAAGAACGACCUGUGGUGGCACGGACUCCGCAAGCGUCCCGCACCCUCUGAGAAAGAAACUCCUCAACCAUCACAAGAUAAAGAAGUAUGACGCUCUGUGUCUGACUCUAUUGGUCAUAGUUCCUUGCUGUUGCGGCCGGUGCUCGUUUGCGCACGUGUGA